CCCCUCUCAGGAUCGCAACUGGAGAGUUUCCAGUACUCUACCGAUCUCGGCUAUGGGAGGGUGAGUCAAACAGAGGGAUACCCAUUCCAUUCCUAGCUUGGCUAGUGGCUAGCGAGGGGAAAGCAAUCUGCUACACGU